rnacentral:rRNA from 1 species
UACGAAGGGGGCUAGCGUUGCUCGGAAUCACUGGGCGUAAAGCGCACGUAGGCGGAUUGUUAAGUCAGGGGUGAAAUCCUGGAGCUCAACUCCAGAACUGCCUUUGAUACUGAAGAUCUCGAGUCCGGGAGAGGUGAGUGGAACUGCGAGUGUAGAGGUGAAAUUCGUAGAUAUUCGCAAGAACACCAGUGGCGAAGGCGGCUCACUGGCCCGGUACUGACGCUGAGACGCGAAAGCGUGGGGAGCAAACAGG